AUUGAACGCUGGCGGCAUGCCUUACACAUGCAAGUCGAACGGCAGCACGGGUGCUUGCACCUGGUGGCGAGUGGCGAACGGGUGAGUAAUACAUCGGAACGUACCUUAUCGUGGGGGAUAACGCAGCGAAAGUUGCGCUAAUACCGCAUACGCCCUGAGGGGGAAAGCGGGGGACCGUAAGGCCUCGCGCGAUUAGAGCGGCCGAUGUCUGAUUAGCUUGUUGGGGAGGUAAAAGCUCACCAAGGCGAUGAUCAGUAGCUGGUCUGAGAGGACGAUCAGCCACACUGGGACUGAGACACGGCCCAGACUCCUACGGGAGGCAGCAGUGGGGAAUUUUGGACAAUGGGGGCAACCCUGAUCCAGCAAUGCCGCGUGAGUGAAGAAGGCCUUCGGGUUGUAAAGCUCUUUUGUCAGGGAAGAAACAGCAGCUCUAACACAGUCUGCGUAUGACGGUACCUGAAGAAUAAGCACCGGCUAACUACGUGCCAGCCGCCGCCGUAA
rnacentral:rRNA from 1 species